AAUGACACUGUUUUUCAUUAGUGUAAAUCCCUUCAUCACUCUCCCGCCAUUCCACUGGGUCUUAAGCAAGAGGACUAUAUACUAAAGGGGUUGUCACUCCAAGAGGAAAUAGACGAGAGAGAAGAAGAAGAGGAAGAGGAGGAGGAGAGUGAGGAAGAAGAGGAGGAGGAGGAGGAGGAAGCACCAGAUCAGAUGAAUGAUUACUAUGAAGGUGACAGUGAUAUAAUGGAAGGAAAUAUGACACCUCCUCCUGAAGUGCAGCCACUUCAUUUAGGGGACAUGACAUAAUGUAUGUGAACAGAAAGACCUGAAAACUUAAACACUGACCAGCACACAAACUCUAAACAAAGUCUGUGUCAGGAAUGAAUACAUGUAGUCACUUCAAUUUUGAAAUGCACCAUAUCAUAUCACUAAUGAUGUUGAUUAUUUCAUUAUUAUUCAGUAA